CAGUUACGGCGAGUGAAGCGGCAACAGCUUCAAUUUGAAAUCUGGCCUCCUUUGGGGUCCGAGUUGUAAUUUUGUAGAGGAUGUUUCGGGUACCGCCCCGGUUUAAUUUUCUUGGAACAGAAUGUCAAAGAGGGUGAGAAUCCCGUCUUGGACCGGCGGUAGGGCCCAUGUGAAACUCCUUCGACGAGUCGAGUUGUUUGGGAAUGCAGCUCAAAAUGGGUGGUAAAUUUCAUCUAAAGCUAAAUAUUGGCCAGAGACCGAUAGCGCACAAGUAGAGUGAUCGAAAGAUGAAAAGCACUUUGAAAAGAGAGUUAAACAGUAUGUGAAAUUGUUGAAAGGGAAGCGCUUACAACCAGACUUGCGCGCGGCGGUUCCCCCUUCCUUUUGGUUGGGCUACUCCGUCGUGUCCAGGCCAACAUCGGUUCUGGGGGUCGGUUAAAGACCCUGGGAAUGUAUCUACCCUUCGGGCGUAGACUUAUAGCUCAGGGUGUCAUGCGACCUCCCGGGACCGAGGAACGCGCUUCGGCUCGGAUGUUGGCGUAAUGGUUGUCAGCGACCCGUCUUGAAACACGGACCAAGGAGUCUAACAUCUAUGCGAGUGUUUGGGUGUCAAACCCGGAACGCGAAAUGAAAGUGAACGGAGGUAGGAAGCCAUGAAGCUGCACUAUCGACCGAUCCUGAUG
rnacentral:rRNA from 1 species